UAACAAACGCGGCCAGGCCCCUAACAGGGUGAAAUGGUAAUAAGAUUACUCGGUUUAUCCGGAAGGGCGGUUCGUAGAUUGCCGCCAUCUUCGCUCUUCCGGUUUGCUAAG
rnacentral:sRNA from 19 species